UUGAUGAAACAGUGGAGUGAAGCUCAUCCGCCUAGGUCCAAGGAAUUGAUGAAUUGUUAGUUCCUGGAAGACAGCUGAUGUGCGCCACUCACCGGAGGGGAUUAAUGAAGCUUUUAUAGGUGGUGUCAUCCUUUUUUGGGUCAACUGACUGAUUCGGGCAAGUCUUGGAGGUUGGUGCUCAUACUUUUGUUUGUGGGGAGUUCUUCACUUGACAAAUCCGUAAUGGCUGCUGGUCAGGAGGUCUCAUUCUUUGAGGAAGGAGAGCCUGAACUUGAGGGAAACCUAGAGACUUUGAAGGUUUGCUUUGCCCCUUGGUUGAGAUUUAGAAUGGCAUUGAUGUGACUAACUUUUAUUUAUGUGUGCUGUGACUAACUCCGUCUUAAAAGAGUAACUUAUUGAGCAGUUAAUAAUUCGGACAUCACCACAUGAUCGCUUCAGAAGUGAAGUCACCAAUCUGCAUGCAAAAAAUACAAUCUCCCUGGUAUAUUUCUAGAGCUUGAGCCCAAUUCUUCAGUUCUUUGAAAGAUGGUUUCUAAUCACCUGAGUAAAUUUCACUUAUUAUUUCUUAAUUCACUUUUCAGUCGUACUAAAUAAUACGCUGAUUAGAAUUUAUCACUUGAUAAGCUACUGCUCUUAUGUUUGUGUACAUGUAAUAAAAAGCACUUUACAGGCAUAAACACAUGCUACAGUAAUGCAUUCACGUAAGCUUAUACUCCAAACUUUAGUGUGCGAAGGUGGUGCUACUUGAAUUCUGCACUAACUAAUAAUAACCUUUGCUGUGAGUUUCCUGUAAUUUAAAAUUGAAAUGUGUUGCAGUGUGCAUUUGUAUAUGACCAUUGUUUGCUGUAUGAUUCAUGAUCUAUAAUUAAUCAGUAUGAUCUCCAUUUUUCUGAUAAGAGAAGAGUACUAUUCUGUUCUCAUUCAGUUUCUUUCCUACUGAUGGAACAGAAAUACUACACAUUCCUAGGUUUUGUCUUUUCCACUCUUAAUAGUUCUGAUAUGUACCGAUCGUAUAUUUGUUUCUUGGUCUCAUACUAACCGGAGAGAACAAUCACUAUACUUGAUUGGCUCCUACCCUAUGAAGAUAAAAUAUUAUCUGCGUCAUGCUAAAUAAUUACCAUUACUAGCAUAUUUGCCCAUUUUAAAAAUAUAUCAUAUGUAUUGCUCACUGUCCAACUAUCAGCUUGAAAAUAUAUCUGCAAAUAAACUGAUGGCUUCAGUAGAUCCAAAGUUCAAGGAAGCUAUCCUUAAAUAUGUACAACUCCAUCUGUGUAUACAUCUUCAAAAAUAUCUAUGUACUAGACCAUAUAUACUUCAUAUCCUAAUUAAGUCCUAAGAUAGCAACAUGUAUACGAUGAUUAUCUAAACCUGUAUUGUUUUGCCAUCUCGUUUCAAAUGGACAUUCCCACCUGUUUGCCCACUGUUCAUAAGAGCAGCACACGGGAGAACAUUUAUUAUAUGGCCUGUUCACUGUUGUGCCUUAGUAGAAGUAUGUGUGAUUCAUAUUUCCACAAGUUUUUUGAAUAUGGCUGAUGUUCAUUUUGCAUAUGGUUCAUAAUAAAAAAUGAUGUUUGCUCCAUGUAAGAUAUAUUAAGUGAUACUCUACUGUGAAAACCCUGGUAACUUCUCUAUGGCCUUUGGCAAAUUAUAGGCCCUACUGUUGCACAAUCAAUUCUACCAGUUACUUUCCAUGUAUAUAGUUUUAUCUACUGAUAAAACACGACGCCAGUUUUUUUUUACCAGAAGUACAAUAUAUUUCUCCUCUUUCCAUAUGUAAGAUCUUUAUUGCUCUUUGUGCAUAAUUUUACCAUAUCUAUACCCUUCUAAUAGAUUCAUGCCGCACUUCUGUUUUCUCUGUAUACACCACUGCCACCAUAUUGAGCAUAAAGGAGUUAAAAAAAUUGUUUCUCUAAUAACCAUCUAGUUUUGAGGUCAAAACCAAAAACACCAAAAGAAGGUUCUCAACUCUUAAAUUACUAACAAAUCACUUCAACAAGGAAAAGGUGGAGCGGAGUUUGGCCAUUGUCCAAGGUAGCCCAGAGUUUAGCUAGGUUGUGCUUUGAUAUUGAUCAUAACAUUUUUUGUAACUUUGUCUAUGAACCCCUUAAUUUUUUUGUUGGCUAAACUCGUGGAUGAUAUAAGAAGAAAAGGUUUCUAGGGAUAAAUAAAAGGAAUGAUGAUUAAUAAAGCUAGCCAUGAUGCCUUACAAAUUCGUGUCAUUUUAACUUGCAAUCAAAUGUCUCGUUAUAUUUAUUUUAAUCCCAGAUAGUAUCUUAUGGAGACGGGCGUUGCAACGCAUCCCAUCAAUGAUCUAGUAGUAAACAAAAGCACUACAGGUCGGCGAUAUUGGCCAGCUUCUGGUUAAUUAAUUAGGCAAACGUUUGCUAGCUUCUGGUUAAUACUUUCUUCACGAUUUAAAAUUUGAAGAGAUCAGCUUGAUCUUGGCCGCUGGUAGGUGCUACCCUUUGCGGACUUUAGCUUAGUAAUAAUGCUGCUAGUGGAACAGCUAGACACAACACAUGACCGGUGGCGGCGGGGUUGGAUGGCGUGCUCAGCCAGGUCUUGAUUAGCAUAAUAACAUUUCAGGGCAUAGAUAUUUGGCCAGGACGUCGACCGGCACUUGAGAAUAAUUGAAAAGCGCACACUGUUUAUGCCAGUAAAGAUAUUUUGCUGCCGACCAUCACUUAGAUGUGCUUCCCUUAUGACAUCAAUUGAUUCCGGCGGCUGCUCCUCGUGGUCAUAUGUGGGUACUCGUGGUCAUAUGUGGGUACUCGUGCCUUCACUGCCGGUGCCGUGAACGCCGGAAUUGGAGCCGUGCAACGCCCGCUGUGAGAGGUAGCAGGCUAGGGAGAGGAUGGCGGCGUCAGAGACGGCCACAUCUUCCUCCUGCCGCCGACGCUGAUUGCCUAAGCCCGACGCGGAGGAGCAGCUCCUCGCGGCUAUUCUUCGCCGCCUGCUCAUGAUGGCAGAGACGGACGCCCGUCGGCUUCGUGGGAAGAACACCAAGGCGCUCCCGCUCAGUAUCGAGCAAUUGAAGCGCGAAGUGGCAGAGGAAGCCGCCAAGCUGGCGAAGGCACGGAACCGUGCCAUCUGGAGGAGGGCCGGCUACA